AUGAGGGUAAAAGAGUUCGUUUUGUUCUUACUCAAAAAGAAAGUGAUAUACUUCAUA
rnacentral:tRNA from 5 species